ensembl:lncRNA
GGGGCGGCAGCGGCGGCGGCGCCGUGGUCAAACAGCGGCAACGAACGCCACCAGAAGCUAAGCGCUGUCGUCUUCCCGGCCAGCCGCGUUCACACACACCGAGAAACAAAAGGAACGCGCUGACAAAUAUGUCCUAAUUACACCGAAUACAGGCCUAGGGAUCGUUUGGAUUAGUCCACGGCUGUUUUUUUCUUUCCCUUUUCUUUUCUUUUUUAUUACAAGGUACGGCUAUUACACUAAUGUGGCAAAAAUGCAGUGUUUACAAUGUCAUUUAGUCAACUGUUGGUUUAACCCGCGGGCGCGAGCGACGCUAGCUUUAAGGUUUCUUUGUUUUAGUGCGAUCUCUUUCUUUUUCUCUCGUAUUUCGUUCGUUGGUGACGCGUUCCUCUGCGCCUUAAUUAAACUCCAGAGUGAUGACUGGGAGCGCGCGGGUCUCUGUGGUUUUGUAAGCGCUCCCUGCGUCCCACGUGCUGCUCUAUGCAGACUGGUUUCAGCCACGAGCUGAGAGAGAGAGGGAGAGAGGGGAGAGAGAAGUUGGAGGGGGAGAGAGAGAGAGAGGGCUGAGAGUUAAGACAAGAUGCCGGCGACGCAGAAGUAAGACUCAAGGAAUCUUCCAGAAUGCUGAUUAGUUCUCUGAAGGCUUCGGUUUUUCGCGAGGUGGUGUGACUGUCAUUUCUCAACCUAAAGGUUACUCCAUGCUUAUGAUACAACAGUAACAAACCAACAAUGUAUCGUUUUUUUUGUCUGUCUUUUGUUGGCCCUUAAUUAGAUUUGGCCCUUAUUGCUUGGAAAGUUGUUGGUGUGUCCCAGUCUCAGGCUAUUCCCGCUGACUCUGAAGUACGGCCACAAUACCUGCUCUCGUCUCGUCGGCCCGUUAAAGCACAACCUACGCCUUAACUAAACCCUGCCCCUCACGAUCACACCAGCCCAAAAUGGCGAGCGGUGCACUUGUUUACCUGUUGCCUGGCAACAAGUAAACAUCCCCGCGUUCAAACCCAUCAGCGCCACACCGGAGACCUGCGCUGGGCGUCUCCGAACCACACGUGUCGAACACAUCAAGUGUUUCCCAGACGCCGCGGACACAGCUCAGCGUACCGCUGCAGUCAGC